AAAAUUACGUAAAGAUGUGCUCCUGUUUUACAGUGAAAUUAUUAACAAUAAAUUGCAACAAUGAAUUGUUUAUUUAUAGUAAAUCGAUUCGCUAACUCGCUGGCUACCAUUUGAGUGCAUAAUUAUUGCUGGAUGUCACGUAUUUUGGCCAAAAAAUGAUAUUGUUUAAAGCGUCAAAAAGCGGCCGGGUCACAAAAAGACGUCAUGAAAUUUCAUGAUACAAAAUGGCCGCAGAUUUCCUUGAAUAUGUCAAAAGUUGUCAAACCUGGAUAGAUGCCAUGACAUUUACAACAAGAAGUGACAGCAGAUACAAAUAAAUAGAUGGCCAGAUAUUAUUUGGAAAAUAUGUCUGAAUGAGUGACCAAGGUCUUGGCACUUUAUUAAACAACGAAUGAUGUCAGACUAUUCGAUGAGGAAGUGUGCUGUUUCAUCACGCUUGAGCUGGUGGUGAAAAUGACGAAUAUCGUGUCACCAGCAUCACCAGUAAAAUUUCAACUAUGACUCCUGUGAAGCCCUGUGCUGAGAUAAAUCCAACAGAGUAUUUUUCAGCUUCCUCCAUGAUUUGUAAUCCGAGCUGAUUAACAACAGUAAAAUUAUAUAUCAUUGUCAAUUGUACCAUCUUAAUCAUCGUUCGUGCUUUAAAAAUUAAUUCAACUAUCAUCAUCUGAAACAGCAACAGCAUGAAAAAUAUUUGAGUGAAUCUCA